CCUACGGGUGGCAGCAGUGAGGAAUAUUGGUCAAUGGGCGCAAGCCUGAACCAGCCAAGCCGCGUGAGGGAAGACUGCCCUAUGGGUUGUAAACCUCUUUUAUAAGGGAAGAAUAAUUACUACGUGUAGUCAGAUGCCAGUACCUUAUGAAUAAGCAUCGGCUAACUCCGUGCCAGCAGCCGCGGUAAUACGGAGGAUGCGAGCGUUAUCCGGAUUUAUUGGGUUUAAAGGGUGCGUAGGCGGUAUUUUAAGUUAGUGGUAAAACGUCGGGGCUAAACCGCGAUUGGCCAUUAAAACUUGAGUACUAGAGAACAGACGAGGUAGGCGGAAUGAGUUGUGUAGCGGUGAAAUGCUUAGAUAUAACUUAGAACCCAGAUUGCGAAGGCAGCUUACCAGACUGUUACUGACGCUGAAGCACGAGAGCGUGGGUAGCGAACAGGAUUAGAUACCCGGGUAGUC
rnacentral:rRNA from 1 species